ACUUGUAGACCACAGGGUGUGGUGAACAGGGCUUCCCGUCUGCUCAGCCAUACUUAAGCCACAGCCGGUAGGUUAGUAGUAUGGUAGGUGACCACAUGUAAAUCCCUACUAUUAUAUGUU
rnacentral:rRNA from 1 species